AUUGAACGCUGGCGGCAGGCUUAACACAUGCAAGUCGAGCGGAGCGGCGGACGGGUGAGCAAUGCCUCGGAAUCUGCCUGGUAGAGGGGGAUAACGUCAGGAAACGGGCGCUAUUACCGCAUCCUAUCAGAUGAGCCUAUGUCGGUUUCGCUAGUUGGUGGGGUAAAGGCCUACCAAGGCGACGAUCCGGAACCGGUCUGAGAGGAUGAUCAGUCACACUGGAACUGAGACAUGGUCCAGACUCCUACGGGAGGCAGCAGGGGGGAAUAUGGGACAAUGGGCGAAAGCCUGAUCCAGCCAUGCCGCGUGUGUGAAGAAGGUCUUCGGUGUGUAAAGCACUUUUAGUUGGGAGGCGUUACCAACAGAAUAAGCACCGGCUAACUACGUGCCAGCAGCCGCGGUAAUAC
rnacentral:rRNA from 1 species